rnacentral:pre_miRNA from 1 species
UAACAUUCACAGGCUGGCCGGCCUGAGGCUGGGCUGGGCGAGUAUCUCUUAGGAAGGCUCACCCUCAAGCACAACUAGGAGC